UUGCGGAAGCAGGAAGAAGUCAGUUGGAAGCCAAAGAGAGAAGGAAAGAGGCUUGUCAGCUGGUGACCGUCCCCUGGUUAACUACUAACUAACAAAACCUUGCCAGCAUUAUUGAGCAGACAUUAUUCACUGAUGAUGGGUCUCUGUGUGUGGCAGAAGGCAUCACCUGGUAAGAAACAUCCUCUCUGGGGGACACAUGCCACUCUUAAGAAUCAUAGAGUUGGAAGAGAUCACGAGGAGCAUCUAGUCCAACCCCCUGCAAUGAAGGAAUCUUUUGUCCCAUUUUGGGCUCGAACCCAUGAACCAGGGAUUAAUAUUCUCAUGCUCUACCAAGCUAUCCCUUGCAUAAAAUUAUCACUGCAAACCA